rnacentral:lncRNA from 1 species
GCACUCUAAGUAUAAAUGCUCAAAAAUGAAUUGGUGGUCUUUGCUCUCUCUGCGCUUUGCUAUGGCACCUUGGGCAUCAUCAGGUCCCUGCUACCUAAGGGAUGUCUCUCUCUCAUCAUCUUCCUGAGAAAUAGACUCAAGUAUACACUGACUGGAGAGGAGGUAAAGAAAUAUAUGCAGUGUUUGAUCAGAAUCAGCAACAAGGUUCAAACUAAUGUUGCAUACCUUUCUGGAUUCAUGGAUAUGCAAGAGAUGGAGCAAAGAUCAUCAGCUUUGAGCAGACAGGGAUGAACUCUAAGAGCAUCAGCUUGACAGCCCAUGAUAUUUCAGUGGAUUGUUCAUCUCAGGCCUCAAAGCUUUUUGGCAACCAACAGCAUCACAACUUGUUUUGGACUUCAUCACACUGUUAUUUCCAGAAUGUAAGUAUGUGUUUUUGUAGGGUUUUCUAAUUCUUCAAAGAGGCACAGAGCCCAACUGGCAGAGGAAGGAUGCAAAAUAGGAAUGUGUGUGUUACUUCUUUCACAUGCCCACAGUUCACUUUAAAGUAGGAAAAUAAGGGUUGUGCAAAAUGGAAAAUUUUAGUUUAUGACUGAUUUUGAGGAAUGGUUUUUCUUUUCUUGGACACUUAAUUUUGUUCUGAUGUUAAUUUAUCAAAUUUCUUCUGUGUAUCAGAAAACACCACCAUUCACAAGUUAAAAUUCUUGGUAUUUGGACAUCUGUUAGAUGCUACUAAGAAAGUAGAGAUGAGCUUUCUUUUUAAAGCUUUUAAUGUGGUGUCAUAGAAUAGCAUGCUGUAGAUACAGUCAUCUGCUUUGUUAACUUCAAACUAGGCAUAUGUAAAUACUGAAACUUAAGAUGGCAGGUGAUGUCCUGUAGACACACUUCUGUUCAGAUUGGACAUAACUCACAAAGUUCAUUCUUUCUCUCCAAAAAUUUAUAGGGGACUUAUAGCUUAGUGUUUGUGUGUGUGUGUGUGUGUGUGUUUCUAAUUUGCUGCUGAUAAUUUAUAUGAAUUUAACAUGCUGUGUAAACUGUCUUUGUUACUGCACAGUUUAUGCAGUGCUGCUUUGCCAAAUAAAAGUUCAAAGCAAAAAAAAUAAUUUACCA